GACGAACGCUGGCGGCGUGCCUAAUACAUGCAAGUCGAACGCAGUGGGGCCGGGUGAGUAACACGUGGGUAACCUCCCAUCAGAGGGGAUAACACUUGGAAACAGGUGCUAAACCGAUACUGAUGGAUGAACCCGGGGUGCAUUAGCUAGUUGGCGAGGUAACGGCUCACCAAGGCCACGAUGCGUAGCCGGCCUGAGAGGAGGAUCAGCCACACUGGAACUGAGACACGGCCCAGACUCCUACGGGAGGCAGCAGUAGGGAAUCUUCGACAAUGGGCGAAAGCCUGACCGAGCAACGCCGCGUGAGUGAAGAAGGUUUUCGGAUCGUAAAGCUCUGUUAUUAGGGAAGCGGUAUCUAAAGAAAAAGCAACGGCUAACUACGUGCCAGCAGCCGCGGUAAUAC
rnacentral:rRNA from 1 species